rnacentral:rRNA from 1 species
UACGUAGGUGGCAAGCGUUAUCCGGAAUUAUUGGGCGUAAAGCGCGCGCAGGCGGUUUCUUAAGUCUGAUGUGAAAGCCCACGGCUCAACCGUGGAGGGUCAUUGGAAACUGGGGAACUUGAGUGCAGAAGAGAAAAGCGGAAUUCCACGUGUAGCGGUGAAAUGCGUAGAGAUGUGGAGGAACACCAGUGGCGAAGGCGGCUUUGUGGGCUGUAACUGACGCUGAGGCGCGAAAGCGUGGGGAGCAAACAGG